GACGAACGCUGGCGGCGUGCUUAACACAUGCAAGUCGAACGGAAAGGCCCUGCUUUUGCGGGGUGCUCGAGUGGCGAACGGGUGAGUAACACGUGAGUAACCUGCCCUUGACUUUGGGAUAACUUCAGGAAACUGGGGCUAAUACCGGAUAGGAGCUCCUGCUGCAUGGUGGGGGUUGGAAAGUUUCGGCGGUUGGGGAUGGACUCGCGGCUUAUCAGCUUGUUGGUGGGGUAGUGGCUUACCAAGGCUUUGACGGGUAGCCGGCCUGAGAGGGUGACCGGCCACAUUGGGACUGAGAUACGGCCCAGACUCCUACGGGAGGCAGCAGUGGGGAAUAUUGCACAAUGGGCGGAAGCCUGAUGCAGCAACGCCGCGUGCGGGAUGACGGCCUUCGGGUUGUAAACCGCUUUCGCCUGUGACGAAGCGUGAGUGACGGUAAUGGAUAAAGAAGCACCGGCUAACUACGUGCCAGCAGCCGCGGUGAUACGUAGGGUGCGAGCGUUGUCCGGAUUUAUUGGGCGUAAAGGGCUCGUAGGUGGUUGAUCGCGUCGGAAGUGUAAUCUUGGGGCUUAACCCUGAGCGUGCUUUCGAUACGGGUUGACUUGAGGAAGGUAGGGGAGAAUGGAAUUCCUGGUGGAGCGGUGGAAUGCGCAGAUAUCAGGAGGAACACCAGUGGCGAAGGCGGUUCUCUGGGCCUUUCCUGACGCUGAGGAGCGAAAGCGUGGGGAGCGAACAGGCUUAGAUACCCUGGUAGUCCACGCUGUAAACGGUGGGUACUAGGUGUGGGGUCCAUUCCACGGGUUCCGUGCCGUAGCUAACGCUUUAAGUACCCCGCCUGGGGAGUACGGCCGCAAGGCUAAAACUCAAAGGAAUUGACGGGGCCCCGCACAAGCGGCGGAGCAUGCGGAUUAAUUCGAUGCAACGCGUAGAACCUUACCUGGGUUUGACAUGGAUCGGGAGCGCUCAGAGAUGGGUGUGCCUCUUUUGGGGUCGGUUCACAGGUGGUGCAUGGCUGUCGUCAGCUCGUGUCGUGAGAUGUUGGGUUAAGUCCCGCAACGAGCGCAACCCUUGUUCACUGUUGCCAGCACGUUAUGGUGGGGACUCAGUGGAGACCGCCGGGGUCAACUCGGAGGAAGGUGGGGAUGACGUCAAGUCAUCAUGCCCCUUAUGUCCAGGGCUUCACGCAUGCUACAAUGGCUGGUACAGAGAGUGGCGAGCCUGUGAGGGUGAGCGAAUCUCGGAAAGCCGGUCUCAGUUCGGAUUGGGGUCUGCAACUCGACCUCAUGAAGUCGGAGUCGCUAGUAAUCGCAGAUCAGCAACGCUGCGGUGAAUACGUUCCCGGG
rnacentral:rRNA from 1 species